rnacentral:rRNA from 1 species
GACGAACGCUGGCGGCGUGCUUAACACAUGCAAGUCGAACGGAAAGGCCCUGCUUUUGUGGGGUGCUCGAGUGGCGAACGGGUGAGUAACACGUGAGUAACCUGCCCUUGACUUUGGGAUAACUUCAGGAAACUGGGGCUAAUACCGGAUAGGAGCUCCUGCUGCAUGGUGGGGGUUGGAAAGUUUCGGCGGUUGGGGAUGGACUCGCGGCUUAUCAGCUUGUUGGUGGGGUAGUGGCUUACCAAGGCUUUGACGGGUAGCCGGCCUGAGAGGGUGACCGGCCACAUUGGGACUGAGAUACGGCCCAGACUCCUACGGGAGGCAGCAGUGGGGAAUAUUGCACAAUGGGCGGAAGCCUGAUGCAGCAACGCCGCGUGCGGGAUGACGGCCUCGGGUUGUAAACCGCUUUCGCCUGUGACGAAGCGUGAGUGGCGGUAAUGGGUAAAGAAGCACCGGCUAACUACGUG